AUUGAACGCUAGCGGGAUGCUUUACACAUGCAAGUCGAACGGCAGCGCGGACUUCGGUCUGGCGGCGAGUGGCGAACGGGUGAGUAAUGUAUCGGAACGUGCCCAGUAGCGGGGGAUAACUACGCGAAAGCGUAGCUAAUACCGCAUACGCCCUACGGGGGAAGGCAGGGGAUCGUAAGACCUUGCACUAUUGGAGCAGCCGAUAUCGGAUUAGCUAGUUGGUGAGGUAACGGCUCACCAAGGCGACGAUCCGUAGCUGGUUUGAGAGGACGACCAGCCACACUGGGACUGAGACACGGCCCAGACUCCUACGGGAGGCAGCAGUGGGGGAUUUUGGACAAUGGGGGCAACCCUGAUCCAGCCAUCCCGCGUGUGCGAUGAAGGCCUUCGGGUUGUAAAGCACUUUUGGCAGGAAAGAAACGUCGCGGGCUAAUACCCCGUGGAACUGACGGUACCUGCAGAAUAAGCACCGGCUAACUACGUG
rnacentral:rRNA from 1 species